AAAGAACUCUAAAACAGAGGGUGAAAAGUUCCUGAACUUGCUUAGGGUUAAGGCUAUUUAUAGUACCCGUCUUGAAACACGGAUUAGGGAGUUUAUCUGUAGUGCGAGUCUUUGCACGUUAACUGUAAAGGCGUAGAGAAAGCAACUGGCGUUUGCAUGGCUACUGAGCAUUACUGAUAGGACCCGAAAGGUGGUGAACUUUGCCUGCACAGGUUGAAGUCAGGGGAAACUCUGAUGGAGGACCGUACGGGUUAUUGAUGUGCAAAUCAUUUUUCUGAUGUAGGUAAAGGUGCGAAAGACUCAUCGAACCACCUAAUAGCUGGUUUCCUCCGAAGUUUCCCUCAGGAUAGCUGUAAUGCAUUUAGUUAAGGGGAGUAGAGAUAUGGGUAGAGGUGCAGGGAGCCUUCGGGUUCUCAACUUAUUUCCAAACUUCGAACCUCCUUGUUAGGCAUUUACCUAACUGGAAAUGCUUAAAUGAAUUAGCGUUACAAGUGGGCUCUGACCGGUAAGCGGUCAUGGCGAAAUGGGAUGAACCAUACGUCUGAAUAAGGUGCCGAAAUGUACUAUCACUGAUACCAUAAAGGGAGUCCAUGUAUUUAGACAGCAGGUCGGUGCCCCUAAAAGCAGGUAUCCGCUAAAGAGUGUGUUAAAACUCACCUGCCGAAUACUAGGGCCCCGAAAAUGAAUGGCGCAUAUAGUACUACCGAUCUCAGACAUCAGUUCUAUUGAACUGAGAGUAGGGGGAUGUGGACAUUUUUGUGAAGGUGCAAUGUGAGUUGGACUGGAAGAAUGUCUAUUACAGAUCCUAAUUGAAGUAGCGAUUAUCCAGGCUUGUAUCCUGGGGGCUGAUGAGGAGUAGGGUUUCUGGACAACUUAAACAGAUCCAGAGUUAGUCGAUCCUAAUCUCCAUAAUGGGAGAAAGGGAGUACAGUUGAUAUUCUGUAACUGACAACAGUUCGCGGCAACGCAUACUAUUUU
rnacentral:ncRNA from 2 species